GGUUAAGAAACAGCCCAAACACACUGAAAAUAAAAUACCUUCUCUUUUACAGAACAUACAGAUCUGCUGGUGAGUGUAAUGGCAAGAAGAAAGGAGUCCUUGGGUGCUUCGUUCAUGGUCUUAUGUCUUCUGCUGAACUGGGUAAGUGGCCAGAAGAAGGAUGUGGUACAGAGUCCUUCCAUCCUGGCUGUCUGGGAGAGAGAAACGGCUGUCAUCAACUGCAGUUAUACAGACGGGGCUUCGAAUUAUUUCCCCUGGUACAAGCAGGAAGCUGGAAAAGGCCCUAGUCUCCUAAUAGAGAUGCGCUCAAAUGUGAACAGCAAACAGGACAGAAGAUUCACAUUGCUGUUGGAUAAAAAUGCUAAGCAUAUCUCCCUGCAUAUCACACCCACCCAACCAGAAGACUCAGCCUCGUACUUCUGCAUAGCAAGCACACAGUGCUCCUCAGGCACCUGCAGCCUGUCCUCAAACUGCUGA